UGGGGGAUAUUGCACAAUGGGCGAAAGCCUGAUGCAGCGACGCCGCGUGGGGGAUGAAGGCUUUCGGGUUGUAAACCUCUUUCGCUAUCGAACAAGGCCCGCUUAGGGUGGGUUGAGGGUAGGUGGAGAAGAAGCGCCGGCUAACUACGUGCCAGCAGCCGCGGUAAUACGUAGGGCGCGAGCGUUGUCCGGAAUUAUUGGGCGUAAAGGGCUUGUAGGCGGCUUGUUGCGCCUGCUGUGAAAACGCGGGGCUUAACUUCGCGCGUGCAGUGGGUACGGGCAGGCUUGAGUGUGGUAGUGGUGACUGGAAUUCCAGGUGUAGCGGUGGAAUGCGCAGAUAUCUGGAGGAACACCGAUGGCGAAGGCAGGUCACUGGGCCAUUCUGACGCUGAGGAGCGAAAGCAUGGGUAGCGAACAGG
rnacentral:rRNA from 1 species